rnacentral:lncRNA from 1 species
UGGAACUCCUGACCUCAGGUGAUCCGCCCGCCUUGGCCUCCCAAAGUGCUGUGAUUACAGCUGUGAGCCACCUCGCCCGGGCCUGCUUUUUGUUAGAAGGGAGGUUCUGCUGAGGACUCUUUUGCCCUCAUUAUCUACCUAAAUAAUUUCUUUCUAUCUCCUGUAUCACCACCACAGUGGGAGGAAGCUGCCGACUUGGGAUGUGGAGGUGGGGGCAGAGGGUCCUCCAGCUGGCCCUAAACAGAGUCCUGCCCCAGGCCUGCCUGCUCCUGGCACCUCCUGGCCCUGCCCAGGACUGAGGUCACAGGCACUGUGCCAGCCCCCUCUGACCGGUGAGAGCCCAAACAGGGCACACAGGAACCCACACAGAAUCACAGAAGCCCCCCACAGGGGCUGGGAGCAGUCCCCUGGGCACUGUCGGCCAGUGCAGCCCCGCCGGGGGGUGCAGCUGCUGGUGUCCUGGGGUGGUCUCCGUGCUCAUGACGGUGCCUGCAUCCGUGCUGGGGGGUGCUGGUGUGUGCACGUGUGUGCUGUGUGUGCACAGGUGAGUGUCCGCUGAGUGUACACACGUCUGGUGUUCAUGCACGAGUGAGCCCAUGCUGUCCCGGGUCAGUGACAGGCGAGCAUCGCGUGGGCCAUGGACUGUAAGUGGGUUUGGGUAGUAAGGACACAGUGACCCCUAACCCCAAAACCAUCCCUGGCUCUUGGGUGGGGAGGGGAGAGUCUGGCACAGCUUCCCUUUGGCUGUUCCCGCCUCCCCGGUUCCUGGCCCGUGGCCCCUGCCCCAUCCGCCUUCUCCAUGUCUGGCACUGCCCUUCCCUAUGUGGGGCACGGGUCCUCACUCCUUGGGUCUCAGCUCCCAGGCAGCCCUCCCAGGCCCUGCGAGGACCCUGUGGGUGUUUGUCCCUGUGUGACUGAGGCACCACAUAGAGCAGGAUGUGCUAAGGCUGUACGCCUGGGCCCCACGGUCAGACGGAUAGACAGAAACGUGGAUGGACCGACGGGCAGCUGGUGGCCAGCGCAGGCUGCCGAGAAUUGGCGGAAGUGGGGCGGGUGGCCGGCGGGCGGCCUGGCAGAUCCUGGAAAUCCUCGCUUCCUGUUUUCCCAACAAAGGGCCUCUGUCCCCCCAGGAAGGCCACUGGCUGGCGGCAGUGGACGGACAUUCCUUUUCCGUAAACAGGAUUGUUUUCCUUUUCUCCUCUGGACACAAUAACAGCAGCCCCCAUGCCCCCCAUCCUGUCUCCUGUCACCACUAGCCAUGGGGCGUGGACAGUGUGGACGGGUAGGGGGUCCACAGAGCAGGCUUUCCUGGACCAGGUGCCCAUUCUGUCACCCUGGGAGUGGGAGUCACAGUGGGGGCCAUAGCCUAGUUGACGGCAAUGAGGCCUCCAGGGCAAGGAGUGGGAAUUCAGUGACGUCUGCCCCACAGGGCAGGUGGGAGGCUGGACCAGCCUUGGGCUAAGGAGACCCUGUGAGCCUCAUGGCCCGAGGCAGCAGUGCUUGGGGCAGAGGCCAGGCUUAGGUCUCUGCAGGGGCUGGGCCUCCCUCCAGGUGGACCUCCCCCCGCCCCAGGCUGGCUUUGGGUGAAUGCAUCUGACUUCCAGAAGCCCCAGAGCAAGACCCUAGAGUAGCUAGAAGCCCCAAGGGGACCCUGGGCGUGGCGGGAGGGGGCAAGGGAAAAGCCUCCAGAGGGUUCAGGGCCCUCCCCUGCCACAGGAGACCCAGUGAGGGCUGCAGGGACAGCCUGGAUCUGUGCAGUGCAGAUGGCGUGGAGGGGCAGAAGUGGCACGGUUCCCGCGUGCACAGCUCUGAGUGAGCGCAAGUGUGGCUGCUGUGCACACCCAGGCAGCGGGUGCCUGAAUGGGCCUGUGUGAGGGGCUGGGACUAUUUAUAGCCGCUCCUAGCCCAGAGGAGCUAUUAAUAGCCAGGGUUGAGGGGGACGGACAAUGUCUCCUGCUGGCCGCUGCCUGCGGGUGGGGUGGGGGUGGGUGCCAUUCUGUGCCCGGAGACACCCGGGGCUGGUACCCCAGCCCCCACCCAGGCUUCGGCACAAGGGCCACUGUUAUCUGGUCAGCAGCUGAGCCAGGGGUCUGCAUUCACCUGGGACAGCAGGCUGGGGGUGCACCAGGCUACAGCCCCCACCCUGCUCUCCCCGGAGGCCGUUCUGCAGCCACACUGACCCUGAGGAGGAUGGGAUGGUGGGCACGUGAG